UUUUUGAAAUCUUUUUUUCAAAUAUUCCACUUUCUAAAAGGAAAAAGCCUCUACCCCGCCCCCCCCCCAACCCAUCCCUGGGGACACUCCUGGAUAUUUAUUAAAACAACGAGUGAUUAGAUGGCCAAUAUUAAUUUCUUAUACAGUACAUAAAAUAUUAAAUCAAUCUUAAAUGAAAUUCAAGAAAAGGAGAACAUAUCAUUUUUUUCCCACAUGACGUCACAAUUAGGAUGUCGUCCAUUUUGGGAGCAUUAAACAAUUAAGUUUUAUAAAUAUGGAAACCCUUUUUCCUUAAUAUUAAAUCAUUAAUAGUGAAUCAUUGGAUGUAAAAACUUGAUCAGCAAAUAAAAGGAUUUAAACCUUACUUUUAAUUAAAAAUCUAUCCCUCUUUUGUCAAUUUUGAGAAAAAUGAGUUUAACUUUGUUUUGUGUUAAACCACCAAAAUUAAGUAAUUGUUCUUUUUACUAAUUAUUUAUUUCGUCAUCCGUAAUAGGUCUAAAUAAAGUGUUGAUACAUUCUAAAAACAGUUUUGAAUAAGUGUUGUUGAUUAAAUCUUAAGUUUCCGAUUAUUUUUGAAUAUCUUAGAUUAUAAUCCUUUGAUUGAUGUACAUGUUGUAAACAAAAGUUUUGUUUAUGUUGCGAUGGAGGAACGAAGAGCUGUGAUAGGCAAUUCAAUACGUGUCGGAGUAUACCUCGGACAUUAUGAAGGUCUUAAACGUCAGCAAGGCCACAGUUAGUCGGGUCAGAAAUCGUUUAGCUGAUGGGGACAAGCUUAAGGAAAAAUCCAAGGGUGGAAGACCCACCAAAGUGAAGCCUGAAGAUAUCAUGGAGGCAUUCAAGGUCAAAGAUCUCAGAGUAUGCCAAGAAGAAGGUGCAUCGGUCUACUGUGAGCAAGGCAAUCCAAAAGGUUGGAGGAAGGUCGCUUAGAAGAAUUGAGAGGCCACUCCAAUCCCAACGUCAAAAAGAACUCUGUCUUCAGGGAUAUCAACAACUCUCGAGACCUGAAGCACAAGAGCAAACGAACUAGGAUGGACCAAGAAUCGGUCCGCAUUGGUCUUUUAUGGUAACUACUCUUGUGUCUUGACGAGGUUGAUAAGACACAAAACUGUUAGUAACAGGGACUCCAGGAAAGACCGAGAGAAACCGGGAGAAGGCGUGGAGAAAUACUACUGAGUUACAUUUAAUAGGAACACAUGACGUAUACUAUCUUUGUACAUAAUAUUAUCUACUCCUCUAUAUACAUAAGUUAUGUCAGGCUAUUUAUACUAUAAGAAUAAAACAGUACUUCACA
rnacentral:lncRNA from 1 species